ACUUCGUUCUCAGUUAAGACUGUAUAGGUCCUCCCUCUCUCUCUCUCCCUCUCCCCACCCUUCUACCCAUCCUCUGGCUGGACCAUGCCAGGAUGAACUCAAUGCCACCCACACACAGGAGAUGUAGAGCCCUCACAUGGAAGGUAUCCGGAUUACAGAAUCACCGUUGGAAGGGGAGCAGCCCAGCAAGGUGGCCCAACCAGGAAUAUCCACAUUAGAUGUUUUGUGAGUGCUGUAUUCCAGGGACCAUGACACCUCACCUUCCGGCUCCUGCAUCCUUCCUGCAGUAUCUAAGGGGACAGUGAGUUUAGAUGCCACUGAUACAAUCCCAACAUCACAAAAUGGAAGGAGUUUGGGUUCCAGAGUAACCAGCCUCGCAGGAGAGCUGCCAGACUUGCCUUGGACAGUGACACGAGGGAGAAACAAACGUAUAUGUGAGAUCGCUGAGGUCAUGUUACCGCGACUGUAAGAUAAGGUGGUGUCCGGAGUAUGGGGUCUGGAGCUUGACUACCUGGAUUCAAAUCCCUGCUCAGUCAUCUCUUGGCUGUGUGACUUAAGAAAAAGAGUCCAUACUGUUGCUAAGUUACAAUUAGACCUUAUGUCAGGACCCUAGAUGAUUAAGCAUUUUCUCCAUGGCAUGUGCUUGGAAAAGGAUGCUUUAUGCAAGAAUGUCACGGAUGGAUAAAAGUUACCAAGACUUGCUAUAUAGCACAAGGAACUCUACCCAAUAUUCUGUGAGAACCUAUAUGGGAAAAGAAUAUGAAAAAGAAUGGAUAUGUUGGAGUCCCUGUUGUGGCUCAGCAGUAACGAACCUGACUAGGAUCCACGAGGAUGCAGGUUCAAUCCCUGGCCUCACUCAGUGGGUUAAGGAUCCGGCAUAGCUCUGAGCUGUGGUGUAGGUCGCAGAUGUGGCUCGGAUCCUGAGUGGCCCUAAAAAACAACAACAAAAAAUGGAUAUGUGUAUGUGUAUAACUGAAUCACUUUGUUGUACAGCAGAAAUUAAUACAACAUUGUAAAUCAACGACACUUCAAUAAAACUUUUUAAAAACUGGAAAAAAGAGAACAAGAUGUUGUGAAAGAGCAACAGAGCUCUUAGAAAUUGAGAUAUGUAAUUAUGACAGACUCAUAUACAGACUGGGUAAACAACAAGGCCCUGUAUUCAAUACCCUGUGAUAGACCACAGUGGAAAAGAGUGCGAAAAGGCAUAUAUAUAUAUAUUCUGAAUCACCUUGUGCAGCAGAAAUUAACACAACACUGUGCAUCCACUGUACUUCAAUAAAAUUCAAGACGUUUAAGAAAAAAAAA
rnacentral:lncRNA from 1 species